rnacentral:tRNA from 1 species
AARAGGUUAAACAAAAAUAGCUGCUAACUAAUUUUUAGAGCGAUAAAAAUAUUCGUUCACCUUUUA